GCCUUCGUCGUUCAAUGGAUAGGACAUAAGUUUCCGGAACUUGUAAUAGAGGUUCGAUUCCUCUCGAAGGCA
rnacentral:tRNA from 1 species